CUGGGGAUCGAACAAAGCAGAAGAAAAAGGGGUGAAACCCUAAUUCACAAGAACCUUCAAAUUGACAAGGAAAUUGGGGUCAAAUCCGAUGCAUGAACUAGGAUUUAUGAUCAUUCAAGUAUUCUUCACACCAACGUAGGAGUCAUGUCAACAUGGACACGAGCAUGGAAGAGCAAUGGGUCAAAGGUAAAUACGGAAGCUAUGCACGAACUCGGACGCACGAGGUACUACAUGGUUUUCUUCUACCACUAACGAAGAGAAGCGGACAUAGAUCGAGUCGAGAGCAAGGAUUGUACGGAAAAGGACGGUCACAUAGUUUGAUUUAUUUAUUUCUUUGAAGGGUUAAUAAAAGGGAAUGUUGUAAAUUCUU